rnacentral:rRNA from 1 species
UACAUGGGGUGCAACCGUUGCUCGGAAUUAUUGGGCGUAAAGCGCACGUAGGCGGUCGCUUAAGUCGGAUGUGAAAGCCCUCGGCUCAACUGAGGAAGUGCAUCCGAAACUGAGUGGCUAGAGUAUGGUAGAGGGUCGCGGAAUUCCCGGUGUAGAGGUGAAAUUCGUAGAUAUUGGGAGGAACACCAGUGGCGAAGGCGGCUCACUGGACCGGUACUGACGCUGAUGCGCGAAAGCGUGGGGAGCAAACGGG